GCGAGAGUGGCGGAAUUGGUAGACGCACUGGACUUAGGAUCCAGCUCUGGUAACAGAGUGGGAGUUCGAAUCUCCCCUUUCGCACCA
rnacentral:tRNA from 1 species